AAAUCGGCGCUAAUACCUCAUAAUGCAGCGGAUCCGCAUGGAUAUGUUGUUAAAGGUUUACCGCCUUGGGAUAGGCUUGCGUCUGAUUAGCUAGUUGGUGUGUAACGGCACACCAAGGCUACGAUCAGUAACUGGUCUGAGAGGAUGAUCAGUCACACUGGAACUGAGACACGGUCCAGACUCCUACGGGAGGCAGCAGUGAGGAAUAUUGGGCAAUGCUCGAAAGAGUGACCCAGCAACGCCGCGUGGAGGAUGAAGGUAUUCUAUAUCGUAAACUCCUGUGAGAGCAGACGAAAGACAGAUUAUUAAUCUGGAUGACUGUAUGCUCAGAGGAAGCCCCGGCUAACUACGUG
rnacentral:rRNA from 1 species